rnacentral:rRNA from 1 species
UACGAAGGGGGCUAGCGUUGCUCGGAAUCACUGGGCGUAAAGCGCACGUAGGCGGAUUGUUAAGUCAGGGGUGAAAUCCUGGAGCUCAACUCCAGAACUGCCUUUGAUACUGGCGAUCUUGAGUCCGGGAGAGGUGAGUGGAACUCCGAGUGUAGAGGUGAAAUUCGUAGAUAUUCGGAAGAACACCAGUGGCGAAGGGGGCUCACUGGCCCGGUACUGACACUGAGGCACGAAGGCCAGGGGAGCAAACGGG